GUGCCUAAUACAUGCAAGUCGAGCGAACAGAUGAGAAGCUUGCUUCUCUGAUGUUAGCGGCGGACGGGUGAGUAACACGUGGGUAACCUACCUAUAAGACUGGGAUAACUCCGGGAAACCGGGGCUAAUACCGGAUAAUAUUUUGAACCGCAUGGUUCAAUAGUGAAAGACGGUUUCGGCUGUCACUUAUAGAUGGACCCGCGCCGUAUUAGCUAGUUGGUAAGGUAAUGGCUACCAAGGCGACGAUACGUAGCCGACCUGAGAGGGUGAUCGGCCACACUGGAACUGAGACACGGUCCAGACUCCUACGGGAGGCAGCAGUAGGGAAUCUUCCGCAAUGGGCGAAAGCCUGACGGAGCAACGCCGCGUGAGUGAUGAAGGUCUUCGGAUCGUAAAACUCUGUUGUUAGGGAAGAACAAAUUUGUUAGUAACUGAACAAGUCUUGACGGUACCUAACCAGAAAGCCACGGCUAACUACGUGCCAGCAGCCGCGGUAAUACGUAGGUGGCAAGCGUUAUCCGGAAUUAUUGGGCGUAAAGCGCGCGUAGGCGGUUUCUUAAGUCUGAUGUGAAAGCCCACGGCUCAACCGUGGAGGGUCAUUGGAAACUGGGAAACUUGAGUGCAGAAGAGGAGAGUGGAAUUCCAUGUGUAGCGGUGAAAUGCGCAGAGAUAUGGAGGAACACCAGUGGCGAAGGCGGCUCUCUGGUCUGUAACUGACGCUGAUGUGCGAAAGCGUGGGGAUCAAACAGGAUUAGAUACCCUGGUAGUCCACGCCGUAAACGAUGAGUGCUAAGUGUUAGGGGGGUCUCCGCCCCUUAGUGCUGCAGCUAACGCAUUAAGCACUCCGCCUGGGGAGUACGACCGCAAGGUUGAAACUCAAAUGAAUUGACGG
rnacentral:rRNA from 1 species